rnacentral:snRNA from 1 species
GGCUUUACCCCUUAGGGAGCCCUUCCAGAAAUUCUCAAAGGCCUGAGCUGUACUCAGGCCCAAGAGGGGGUUUGGAAAUAGUUUUCAACCAGCAAUAGACGCGCCUCGGUUAGAACCUCACUAGCUGCGUCAUUGCCCCAAGCGCAAAGAU